AGUGAACGCUGGCGGUAGGCCUAACACAUGCAAGUCGAGCGGCCGCACAGUAAGAGCUUGCUCUUACGGGUGGCGAGUGGCGGACGGGUGAGGCAUACAUCGCAUUCUAAUUUUUCGUGGGGGAUAUCGUGGGGAAACUUCCGCUAAUACCGCAUACUAUCUACGGCUUAAAUCAGGAGAGCUUCGGACUCUGCGCGAUUCAAUGAGCCGAUGUCGGAUUAGCUAGUUGGCGGGGUAAGGGCACACCAAGGCGACGAUCCGUAGCUGACCUGAGAGGAUGAUCAGCCACACUGGAACUGAGACACGGUCCAGACUCCUACGGGAGGCAGCAGUGGGGAAUAUUCGACAAUGGGCGCAAGCCUGAUCCAGCCAUACCGCGUGGGUGAUGAAGGUCUUCGGGUUGUAAAGCCCUGUUGUUGGGAAAGAAAAGCAGCAGGUUAAUAUCUGGCUAUUCUGACGGUACCCAAAGAAAAAGCACCGGCUAACUUCGUG
rnacentral:rRNA from 1 species